rnacentral:rRNA from 1 species
AGCGUAACAAGGUUUCCGUAGGUGAACCUGCGGAAGGAUCAUUAAUGAAUUUAUGACAGGGUUGUAGCUGGCCUCAAUCGGGGCAUGUGCACGCCUUGCUCAUUUCCAACCUUUACACCUCUGUGCACUUUACAUAGGCUUGGUCUGGGCUGUGUCCAUUUAUAAUGGGAUGGCUGGCUGGCCUAUGCAUCCUAUUACAAACGCUUUAGUUUUAGAAUGUUAAUCUGCGCAUAACGCAACUAUAUACAACUUUCAGCAACGGAUCUCUUGGCUCUCGCAUCGAUGAAGAACGCAGCGAAAUGCGAUAAGUAAUGUGAAUUGCAGAAUUCAGUGAAUCAUCGAAUCUUUGAAUGCACCUUGCGCCUCCCGGUAUUCCGGGAGGCAUGCCUGUUUGAGUGUCAUGGUAUUCUCAAUACCCUAAAUCUUUGCAGAUGAGGGUGUAUUGGACUUGGAGGUUUUUAUCAUGCUGGCUUCACUGUCGGCUCCUCUGAAAUAUAUUAGCAGAGAUAUUGCUGUUACUUCUCCAGUGUGAUAAUUGUCUACGCUGCAAGAUGUACGGCGAACUGAAGUCUGUGCUUUCUAAUUGUCUUUGGACAAUUUUUUAAAAUUCGACCUCAAAUCAGGCAGGACUACCCGCUGAACUUAAGCAUAUAAA